rnacentral:rRNA from 1 species
GACGAACGCUGGCGGCGUGCUUAACACAUGCAAGUCGAACGGAAAGGCCCUUUCGGGGGUACUCGAGUGGCGAACGGGUGAGUAACACGUGGGUGAUCUGCCCUGCACUCUGGGAUAAGCCUGGGAAACUGGGUCUAAUACUGGAUAGGACCAUGGGAUGCAUGUUCUGUGGUGGAAAGCUUUUGCGGUGUGGGAUGGGCCCGCGGCCUAUCAGCUUGUUGGUGGGGUGAUGGCCUACCAAGGCGACGACGGGUAGCCGGCCUGAGAGGGUGUCCGGCCACACUGGGACUGAGAUACGGCCCAGACUCCUACGGGAGGCAGCAGUGGGGAAUAUUGCACAAUGGGCGCAAGCCUGAUGCAGCGACGCCGCGUGGGGGAUGACGGCCUUCGGGUUGUAAACCUCUUUCAGUAUCGGCGAAGCUUGCGGGUUUUCUCGCAGGUGACGGUAGGUACAGAAGAAGCACCGGCCAACUACG